rnacentral:rRNA from 1 species
GGUGAACGCUGGCGGCGUGCCUAAUACAUGCAAGUCGAACGCUUCACUUCGGUGAAGAGUGGCGAACGGGUGAGUAAUACAUAAGUAACCUGGCAUCUACAGGGGGAUAACUGAUGGAAACGUCAGCUAAGACCGCAUAGGUGUAGAGAUCGCAUGAACUCUAUAUGAAAAGUGCUACGGGACUGGUAGAUGAUGGACUUAUGGCGCAUUAGCUUGUUGGUAGGGUAACGGCCUACCAAGGCGACGAUGCGUAGCCGACCUGAGAGGGUGACCGGCCACACUGGGACUGAGACACGGCCCAGACUCCUACGGGAGGCAGCAGUAGGGAAUUUUCGGCAAUGGGGGAAACCCUGACCGAGCAACGCCGCGUGAAGGAAGAAGUAAUUCGUUAUGUAAACUUCUGUCAUAGAGGAAGAACGGUGGAUAUAGGGAAUGAUAUCCAAGUGACGGUACUCUAUAAGAAAGCCACGGCUAACUACGUG